rnacentral:rRNA from 1 species
GACGAACGCUGGCGGCGUGCUUAACACAUGCGAGUCGAACGGAAAGGCCCUGCUUUUGUGGGGUGCUCGAGUGGCGAACGGGUGAGUAACACGUGAGUAACCUGCCCUAGACUUUGGGAUAACUUCAGGAAACUGGGGCUAAUACCGGAUAGGAGCUCCUGCUGCAUGGUGGGGGUUGGAAAGUUUCGGCGGUUGGGGAUGGACUCGCGGCUUAUCAGCUUGUUGGUGGGGUAGUGGCUUACCAAGGCUUUGACGGGUAGCCGGCCUGAGAGGGUGACCGGCCACAUUGGGACUGAGAUACGGCCCAGACUCCUACGGGAGGCAGCAGUGGGGAAUAUUGCACAAUGGGCGGAAGCCUGAUGCAGCAACGCCGCGUGCGGGAUGACGGCCUUCGGGUUGUAAACCGCCUUCGCCUGUGACGAAGCGUGAGUGACGGUAAUGGGUAAAGAAGCACCGGCUAACUACGUG